rnacentral:rRNA from 1 species
AUAGAUUUUAUUUAUUAAUUUUAUUUAUUUAUUUAAUUUAUUUAAUAAAAAUAAUUUUAAAAUUUUAAGUUUAAGUAUUUUAUAAAGAAAAAAUAAUUUUAAUUAUAGUUUAUUUGUAUUGUGAAAGAAAAUUGAAAUAAUUUGAAAAAUUUUUAUUUUAAAAGAAAAUUUAAUUUAUUGUACCUUGUGUAUCAGGGUUUAUUAAAUAAAAAAUUAUUAUAUUAAUUUUUCUCGAAUUUUAAAGAUUUAAUUAUAUAUAAAAGUUACUGUGGAAUAAUUAUUUUUAAUAUAUAAUUAGAAAUGAAAUGUUAAUCGUUUUAAAAUAUAUCUAGUUUUUUAAGAAAUAAAUUUAAUUUAGAUUUAUAAAUUUAAAUUAUUUAAUUAUUUUAAAUAAUUUAUUUUAUAAAAUUAAUAUUUUAAGGGAUUAGCUUUAAAAUAAAUUUUUAAAUUUUAAAUUAAUUAUUUAAUAAAUAUAAGCUUAAAAAUAGCUAUUAUUAAUAAAUUUGUUAUGAUUUAUUUUAAAAAUUUAAUUAUUUAAUAUAAAAUUAAAUUAUUUAUUAAAAUAUAAAUUUUAAUAAUAAAAAUUUAUAAAUUAUGAUAAAAUUAGUAUAUAAAAUUUUUAUAAAUAAUUAUUUAUGAAAGGUUUAAAUAAGGAAUUCGGCAAAAUAUAUAUUCACCUGUUUAUCAAAAACAUGUCUUUUUGAAUUAAAUUUAAAGUCUAACCUGCCCACUGAUAUAAAUUAAAGGGCCGCGGUAUCUUGACUGUGCAAAGGUAGCAUAAUCACUAGUCUUUUAAUUGGAGGCUUGUAUGAAUGGUUGAAUGAGAUAUAUACUGUCUUUUUUAAAAUUAUAUAGAAUUUUAUUUUUUAGUUAAAAAGCUAAAAUAAAAUUAAAGGACGAGAAGACCCUAUAGAUCUUUAUUUUUGUUAUUUAUAAAUUAAAAAGAAUUUUAAAAUUUAUAAUUUAAUAAAAAAUUUUAUUGGGGUGAUAUUAAAAUUUAAAAAACUUUUAAGAUUUAUUAACAUUAAUAUAUGAAUAAAUGAUCCAGUUUUAUUGAUUAAAAAUUUAAGUUACCUUAGGGAUAACAGCGUAAUUUUUUUUUAGAGUUCAUAUCGACAAAAAAGAUUGCGACCUCGAUGUUGGAUUAAGAGUUAUUUUUAGGUGUAGAAGUUUAAAGUUUAGGUCUGUUCGACCUUUGAAUUCUUACAUGAUCUGAGUUCAAACCGGCGUAAGCCAGGUUGGUUUCUAUCCUUAAUUAAUUAUUAUAUUAUAGUACGAAAGGACCUAAUAUAAAAAAUAUAGAUUUUAAUAAUAUGAUUAAUAUUAAUAUUAGAUA